AGCAGCCGCGGUAAUUCCAGCUCCAAUAGCGUAUAUUAAAGUUGCUGCAGUUAAAAAGCUCGUAGUUGAAUUUCGGGGUUAGUAGGUUGGUCAUGCCUCUGGUAUGUACUGGUCUCACUGAUUCCUCCUUCCUGAUGAACUGUAAUGCCAUUAAUUUGGUGUUGCAGGGAAUCUGGACUGUUACUUUGAAAAAAUUAGAGUGUUUAAAGCAGGCUAACGCCUGAAUACAUUAGCAUGGAAUAAUGAAAUAGGACGUUCGAUCCUAUUUUGUUGGUUUCUAGGAUUGACGUAAUGAUUAAUAGGGAUAGUUGGGGGCAUUAGUAUUCAAUUGUCAGAGGUGAAAUUCUUGGAUUUAUUGAAGACUAACUCUGCGAAAGCAUUUGCCAAGGAUGUUU
rnacentral:rRNA from 1 species